GAUUAUCUACCUCUUGGUGGGGAAUAACCUGGGGAAACCUGGGCUAAUACCGCAUAAGUUCGAGAGAGGAAAGGCGCAAGUCGCCGGGAGAGGAGUCCGCGGCUGAUUAGGUAGUUGGCGGGGUAAAAGCCCACCAAGCCAAAGAUCGAUAGCCGGCCUGAGAGGGCACACGGCCACACUGGCAGUGAAACACGGGCCAGACUCUUACGGGAGGCAGCAGUGGGGAAUCUUGCACAAUGGGGGAAACCCUGAUGCAGCGACGCCGCGUGAGCGAUGAAGCC
rnacentral:rRNA from 1 species